rnacentral:lncRNA from 1 species
AUAUUUGUUUCUAAAUUUUAAGCUUUUUAAACUUCAAAAUUUUAAAGUUUUAAUUUCCUAAUUUUACAUUUAAAUUUUAAAUUUUAUUUUUUACUUAUAUUAUUUAUUUCUAAAUUUUAAGCUUCAAAGUUUAAAAUUUUAAAUCUCUAAACUCUAUGAAAUUAAUUAAUUAAUUAAAUUUAUUAAUAAUUAGUUUUAUACAAUAUAAUUAAUUAAUUUAUUAAAAAUACACAUAAUAAAUCGCAUAAUAAAAUAUAAUUUGAUAGAUGAAAUUUAAAUCACAUAAAAUUUCAUUGUAUAAAAAAAAUACGGAAUUUAAGUUUCAGGAGUAAAAUUUUAAAAAUAUAGUGUAUGUGUGUAUAUAUAAUUAAUUUUAUUAAACAAUAUCUUCUACAAUUUUAUUUUCCUUCUAUUUAUUGAUUUUUUUAAAAAAUUAUUUUGAUAGAUUUAUCUCAAAUCCUUUUCAUAUAAUUUUUUAUAAAAUAAACUAUUGUAUAAAUUUACUUUGCGCAUAUACCAAUUUUAAUGACUUUUAUUUAAAUAGAUUUAACUAUUAAAUUAUUUUUAUAUAACUUUUAUUUAAUUAAUAAUUAGAUUUAUAAAACUAUAUAAAAAUAUUAAAAAAAUUAAAAUUUAUUAUAAAAAUAUUUUUAUAUUCGCAGCAUCGCGCGGGUAUUUUACUAGUAUAUAAUAAUAUCUCUCCCA